rnacentral:rRNA from 1 species
AUUGAACGCUGGCGGCAGGCCUAACACAUGCAAGUCGAGCGGAUGAAGGGAGCUUGCUCCUGGAUUCAGCGGCGGACGGGUGAGUAAUGCCUAGGAAUCUGCCUGGUAGUGGGGGAUAACGUCCGGAAACGGGCGCUAAUACCGCAUACGUCCUGAGGGAGAAAGUGGGGGAUCUUCGGACCUCACGCUAUCAGAUGAGCCUAGGUCGGAUUAGCUAGUUGGUGGGGUAAGGGCCUACCAAGGCGACGAUCCGUAACUGGUCUGAGAGGAUGAUCAGUCACACCGGAACUGAGACACGGUCCAGACUCCUACGGGAGGCAGCAGUGGGGAAUAUUGGACAAUGGGCGAAAGCCUGAUCCAGCCAUGCCGCGUGUGUGAAGAAGGUCUUCGGAUUGUAAAGCACUUUAAGUUGGGAGGAAGGGCAGUAAGUUAAUACCUUGCUGUUUUGACGUUACCAACAGAAUAAGCACCGGCUAACUUCGUG